GUGAGGAAUAUUGCGCAAUGGAGGCAACUCUGACGCAGCCAUGCCGCGUGCAGGAAGAAGGCGCUACGCGUUGUAAACUGCUUUUAACCGGGAAGAAACCCCAGGACGUGUCCUGGGUUGACGGUACCGGAGGAAUAAGCACCGGCUAACUUCGUGCCAGCAGCCGCGGUAAUACGAAGGGUGCAAGCGUUAUCCGGAUUCAUUGGGUUUAAAGGGUGCGUAGGCGGAGCGUUAAGUCAGUGGUGAAAUCCUGCAGCUUAACUGUAGACUUGCCAUUGAUACUGGCGCUCUUGAGUGCGCUUGAAGUGGACGGAAUGUGCCGUGUAGCGGUGAAAUGCUUAGAUAUGGCACAGAACACCAAUUGCGAAGGCAGCUCACUAAGGCGAUACUGACGCUGAGGCACGAAAGCGUGGGGAUCGAACAGGAUUAGAAACCCUGGUAGUCC
rnacentral:rRNA from 1 species